AGUAGCGGCGAGCGAAGCGGGAAGAGCUCAAAUUUAUAAUCUGGCACCUUCGGUGUCCGAGUUGUAAUCUCUAGAAGUGUUUUCCGCGUUGGACCGCACACAAGUCUGUUGGAAUACAGCGGCAUAGUGGUGAAACCCCCGUAUAUGGUGCGGACGCCCAGCGCUUUGUGAUACACUUUCAAUGAGUCGAGUUGUUUGGGAAUGCAGCUCAAAUUGGGUGGUAAAUUCCAUCUAAAGCUAAAUAUUGGCG
rnacentral:rRNA from 1 species